rnacentral:rRNA from 1 species
UACAGAGGUCUCAAGCGUUGUUCGGAAUCACUGGGUGUAAAGGGUGCGUAGGCGGUCCGUUAAGUCUGAUGUGAAAGCCCUGGGCUCAACUCAGGAACUGCAUUGGAAACUGGCGGGCUUAGAGUACCGGAGAGGGAAGCGGAAUUCCUGGUGUAGCGGUGAAAUGCGUAGAUACCAGGAGGAACACCGGUGGCGAAGGCGGUUUCCUGGCCGAGUACUGACGCUGAGGCACGAAAGCGUGGGGAGCGAACGGG